CCUGAGCUCCCCGUCUCCCUCUUUGGCUCUGUCCCACCCAGUCAUCUGAUGACAGCACAGAAGAUCAGCUACAAGUUUCCACCGUAGCUUUAGAGGAACUAAAAAAUGGACUGUGCAAAUCGAUCUGGAGAAUUUCUAUUUUGGAUGUCAUUAAGGAAGACUUCAAAGCGCUGCUGGGGUCAAGGUUCAGACCCUUCUCUGGAAAAGCAAAAGAAGAUUCUAGCUGUAGCUUAUGAGGAAUGAUGC